rnacentral:rRNA from 1 species
CCUACGGGAGGCAGCAGUGAGGAAUAUUGGUCAAUGGACGAGAGUCUGAACCAGCCAAGUAGCGUGAAGGAUGACUGCCCUAUGGGUUGUAAACUUCUUUUAUAUGGGAAUAAAAUGUUCCACGUGUGGGAUUUUGUAUGUACCAUAUGAAUAAGGAUCGGCUAACUCCGUGCCAGCAGCCGCGGUAAUACGGAGGAUCCGAGCGUUAUCCGGAUUUAUUGGGUUUAAAGGGAGCGUAGGUGGAUUGUUAAGUCAGUUGGGAAAGUUUGCGGCUCAACCGUAAAAUUGCAGUUGAAACUGGCAGUCUUGAGUACAGUAGAGGUGGGCGGAAUUCGUGGUGUAGCGGUGAAAUGCUUAGAUAUCACGAAGAACUCCGAUUGCGAAGGCAGCUCACUGGACUGCAACUGACACUGAGGCUCGAAAGUGUGGGUAUCAAACAGGGUUAGAUACCCGAGUAGUC